rnacentral:rRNA from 1 species
AGCAGUAGCCGCGGUAAAACGUAGGGCGCAAGCGUUGUCCGGAAUUAUUGGGCGUAAAGAGCUCGUAGGCGGUCUGUCGCGUCUGGUGUGAAAUCCCGAGGCUCAACCUCGGGCUUGCAUCGGGUACGGGCAGACUAGAGUGCGGUAGGGGAGACUGGAAUUCCUGGUGUAGCGGUGGAAUGCGCAGAUAUCAGGAGGAACACCGAUGGCGAAGGCAGGUCUCUGGGCCGCAACUGACGCUGAGGAGCGAAAGCAUGGGGAGCGAACAGGAUUAGAUACCCGAGUAGUCCCUGUCUCUUAUAC